GUCGGAGGUGGAAAAGAGCCAUGUGGGAUUGAUUCAAAGAGUAGCCCUGGGAGAGAGAAGUGGUUUCCGUUGAAUGGAAGCAUCCCAAUUCAUAGACACACCCCAGUCAAGCAAAAAAACUUCUGGUGCAAAGCAAAACCACUGAAGGAGGUGGUCCUAGGGAAAGUCCUGAGGGCCAGAUACAGGAGCAUGAAGGGCCACAUUUGCCCAUGGCCAGAAGUUCCCCAUUUCUGCUGUAGGUGUUCAAAUGUAUUUAAUAAAAUAAACAAACACAUCAAAGUGUUGUUUUGGUAACUACUGCUUUCCUUUUUUUCUUUAUGUAUUUCAGCAAUGUCUAUUAAAUUAAAUAGCUAAUGAUGUCUAUAUACAUGGGAAGUUUAGUGAGAGGCUCUUGGCAGAGCCAGAAAGGAUCAUGUCAGAUGGAUUUCAAUAACUAGCAUUAUAUCUGUUAUCAGGGUUCUGUUAUUAUCUCUUUCUGAAUAUGAUUCUGCUCUGAAAGUGUGCUGGCAAUGUAGUUAUUGAAAAAUUGCAGGCACCCAAGAUGUCUGAGCUUAGUGUAAAGCUGAGUGAUUACAGCUCUCGCUCUCUCUUUUUUUAAGAUAGUCCUUUGACACAGCUUCAUAGUAUCUCCGCCUGGUAUUUAGAGCUGAAGAGCCUAGAUAUCCGUUCCUAAAAUGGCACAUGCAUUUCUGACUUCUGCUGCUCUCCUUAGAAUUUGAGGAUUUGUGAGCACAGCAGUUCCAUUAGGAAUUGGAUAAUGUAGCAUGCACUUUCCACCAGGCUAUUUGUAUAUAUGCUUUUGAUGGAGCUGAAACGAUGGCGUGACCUUCUAAAAUGAACCACCAGCCAAUAUAUUUUCCAUGAACACCUGUAUCUCAUAUUUCCAGCUAAGUUAUAAAUAAAUAAUAAGCACACCUUUUAACUUGAAGUGCAUUUUGUUUGUUUCUUUCAGGUGCAUUAAGAAACCUUUGGCUUAAAAAUUUCUUUGUAGUCUUCUGAGCACAAUUGUAAGGGACAUGAAAAUGGCCAUAGUUGUGAACUGAGGCACCUCUAUUCACUUUUUUAGUGGUAGACUGCGAGCGACAUCAUGCGUUUGACAUAACUUUAUUUAUUUAUUUUUAAAUAUUACUUUUCCUCUAAAUGGAUCCCAUGGUGGUGAACAAUGAGCAUGGAUCAGACCAUUCCUACGAGAUACAGAUACAACAAAAGCACCAACAUUCACAAUGACAGGCAGCAAUGUACCUUAAAAGCUCUACUGCAGACUAAAUAAAGCAAAGAGAGAGAAAGCACUAGUGAGCUCUGCCCCCUUUCCCAAUGCUUCCAUGUUCAAAACAAGGUUAGUCCAGGGACAGCCAGCACAGAGUGCUCUAGAUGCUGGUGAACUGCAACUCCCAUCAUCCAUGACUAUUGGCCAUACUGACCCAGACUGAUGGGAGUUGGAAUCCACCAACAUCUGAAAUGCCAUAGCUACCCCAUCUCUGGCCUAUGGCAAAAUCUAAGUCAGGCCCUCUAGAUGUUGUUGGGUUCCAAUUCCCAUGGUCAAUAGUCAGUUGUACUUCAGCAGCACCUGGAGACACCACAUUUGGAGACACCCUUAUUUAUGGAUGUAAGAAGCCAUCAUUUUCUGUUCCGCCUUGUAUUUGUCACAUGCAGCAAGCACUGUUUCCAUUCAGCUACAAGUUGUCUUCUGCCAGAAACUACAUUAUUUGACUUUCUCUCUGCUGUGGCAAAAUUAUGUAACUUAUGCAAUUUACAUAAUUAAUUGUGCAAAUUGUCAGCAAAACUAUUGAUAGCUAAAAAUUGGAAAGCCACAAAGGGUUUAAAUGCACAAAAAAUGGCAUAAUGUAAUUUAGGAGAUAGCACUUUCUGAAAUAUUGAAGCAAAAAUUUUGUGUACCAAGGGGGCAAAAUAUAUGAGACACUUUUAUGGCAGACAGGUAGUCAAUCAUCCAGCACUUGAGCAAAGACUCAAACAACAACAACAACAACAACAACAACAACGAAAGCAGAUCAAACCCCAUUAUUUUUUCUUUAAAAAACAGACAAGCACCGGUAAAGCAAGCAGAUGCUCAGAUAAAUGUAUGAGAGAGGACUUCAAGGGGCAGGGGGAGAGAACACACAUGUGCAUAAGCUCUGCCCUUGCAACCCCACACACUCAAGUACCAACUCCAUUUCCACCCUCCAUGUUUUGUGCACAAUGACCUGAAAGGGGAUCAUUCGCACAUUCAACUGACUACGCUUAGACACCUCCUUGCAACUGGGAACAGUGGCCUGCAGUGGAGCUAGCACAUGCUGGAACUUUAGGGGGGACCCGUGCCAUUGCCCCCCUCACUUCAAGCCUGCUUACAUUGGCCCCAAAGUAUGAAUGGGGCUAUGAAUUAAAAAAGGUAUUUAAAUAUACCUUCCUCAAGAAACCAGAGGCCUUUCUCCUGGGCAUAGUCGGCCAAACGGUGUUAAAAAAGGAUAGAACUUUCUUUAUGUACGCAACAACAGCAGCAAGAAUACUCAUCGCAAAGUAUUGGAAGACACAAGAGCUUCCCACACUGGAGGAAUGGCAGAUGAAACUGAUGGACUAUAUGGAGCUGGCGGAAAUGACUGGCAGAAUCCGUGACCAGGGAGAAGAGUUGGUGGAGGAAGAUUGGAAGAAAUUCAAAGACUAUCUGCAGAAACACUGCAAAAUUAAAGAAUGUUAGAGUGAUGUUUGAUUGAAAAUAAGUGGCUUCUAGCUAUACAGGAUUUAAAGUUAUAUAUGGAUCAAGAUUAAGGAUGAGGAUUAAAAAAGUUAAAGGAAAUGGAAAUUUGGUUCUUAAGAGGUAAAAUUUAAUGUUAUAUUAUAUUAAGAUUAAAGAUUGGGAUUUAAAAAGAGGGAAAGAAAUUGCUGGACAAACAAUUGAACUGGAAUACAAAAGAGGGAGGUAUGAGGAGGUCCAGAAAAUAAGUAAAUUUAAGAAUGGAGAUGAAAAGUUGGUAUUGUUUUUAACUGUUUUCUUUUUUGUCUUUUGUUUUUUGUUAUUUUUGGAUUAUGUAUUGUGUACUUUUGAAUUGUGUAUUUUUCUUUUUCUUUUUAAUUUUUUUAUUGAUGUGUUCUUUUUAUUGGAAACCUUAAUAAAUUUUAUUU